GCCUUAUGUCUCUCAAAUCGGCCAUAUUGGAAUUCCUAUCAUGUACUUCGUGUAAGCUACAGAUACUGUAUCUUUUUUGUGAACCAUGAAAAUUUUCGCUCUCUCCUCAAGGGCCAAGGCCCGUUUACCUGUACACGGGCGAUUUUUGCUGCGAUUUUAGUUGCGAUUUUCUCCUUUUGGAGGAUGCGAAGGAGUAGAUUACUUAAUAUGUUGUUAUAAGAUUUCAUAACCUGGAACAUUUAUAACUCAUCCACUCCUUCACAUCUCCAAAAGGAGAAAAUCGCAACUAAAAUCGUAGCAAAAAUCGCCAGACCAUUCUCGUACCCAGAGCCCUUCUUACGCGCGUGCGACGAGGGACUCUGGCCAAAUCCAUAACCGGAUACCAUAAAAACAUGGUAAGAAAACAAUACCCGGUGUUAGAACUAGCCAAUCAGAUGCCAGUUCGGAUAUGGAUUUGGCCAGAGCCCCUCGUCGCACCGCGCGUAAGAAGGGCUUUGGGUACGAGAAUGUCCUCAGGCAUAAUUCACAUAAUCUCUGGGAUGCAUUACCCUGGAUUCCAGAGCCUUCGAUAGUAAAUAAUAAAUUGAAACGUCG